AUUGAACGCUGGCGGCAGGCUUAACACAUGCAAGUCGAACGGGCACUUCGGUGCUAGUGGCAGACGGGUGAGAACCGGUGGGUAAUGUACCUUUCGGUUCGGAAUAAUUCGGGGAAACUUGGAGAAAUACCGGAUAGGCCCUCCGGGGGAAAGAUUAAUCGCGGAUGGAACGGCCCGCGUCUGAUUAGCUAGUUGGUGAGGUAAGGGCUCAACAAGGCGACGAUCAGUAGCUGGUCUGAGAGGAUGAUCAGACACAUUGGGACUGAGACCCGGCGCAAAAUCCUGCGGGAGGCAGCAGUGGGGAAUAUUGGACAAUGGGCGCAAGCCUGAUCCAGCCAUGCCGCGUGAGUGAUGAAGGCCUUAGGGUUGUAAAGCUCUUUUGUCCGGGAAGAUAAUGACUGUACCGGAAGAAUAAGCCCCGGCUAACUUCGUGCCAGCAGCCGCGGUAAAAC
rnacentral:rRNA from 1 species